UUGUGGCUGGAACAGAUACAUCAGCAGCUACACUAGAAUGGACAAUGACUGAGUUGGCUAGGCAUCCAAGUGUUAUGAAAAAGGCACAAAAUGAAGUAAGAAAGAUUGUAGCUAAUAGAGGAAAGGUAGAAGAAUUUGAUCUUCAACAUCUUCACUAUAUGAAAGCAGUAAUAAAGGAGACUAUGCGAUUGCAUCCCCCUGUCCCUCUUCUCGUACCUCGUGAAUCCAUCGAAAAAUGUAGUAUCGAUGGCUAUGAAGUACCUGCGAAAACUAGAGUGUUGAUCAACACUUAUGCAAUCGGAAGAGAUCCUGAGUAUUGGAACAACCCUCUUGACUACAACCCCGAAAGGUUUAUGGAGAAGGAUAUCGAUUUGAGGGGACAAGAUUUUAGGUUUUUACCGUUUGGAGGAGGGAGAAGAGGUUGUCCAGGUUAUGCUCUUGGAUUAGCUACAAUUGAGUUAUCGUUGGCUCGUUUGUUGUAUCACUUUGAUUGGAAAUUGCCUAGUGGAGUUGAAGCUCAGGAUAUGGACUUGUCUGAGAUAUUUGGAUUGGCUACUAGAAAAAAAGUGGCUCUAAAGCUUG
rnacentral:misc_RNA from 1 species